GAUGAACGCUGGCGGCGUGCCUAAUACAUGCAAGUCGAGCGAACGGACGAGAAGCUUGCUUCUCUGAUGUUAGCGGCGGACGGGUGAGUAACACGUGGAUAACCUACCUAUAAGACUGGGAUAACUUCGGGAAACCGGAUCUAAUACCGGAUGAUAUUUUGAACCGCAUGGUUCAAAAGUGAAAGACGGUCUUGCUGUCACUUAUAGAUGGAUCCGCGCUGCAUUAGCUAGUUGGUAAGGUAACGGCUUACCAAGGCAACGAUGCAUAGCCGACCUGAGAGGGUGAUCGGCCACACUGGAACUGAGACACGGUCCAGACUCCUACGGGAGGCAGCAGUAGGGAAUCUUCCGCAAUGGGCGAAGGCCUGACGGAGCAACGCCGCGUGAGUGAUGAAGGUCCUCGGAUCGUAAAACUCUGUUAUUAGGGAAGAACAUAUGUGUAAGUAACUGUGCACAUCUUGACGGUACCUAAUCAGAAAGCCACGGCUAACUACGUG
rnacentral:rRNA from 1 species